GUGCGAGACCGAUAGCGAACAAGUACCGUGAGGGAAAGAUGAAAAGAACUUUGAAAAGAGAGUUAAAGAGUACCUGAAACUGCUGAAAGGGAAUCGAAUCGUUUCCAGUGUCUAUAAUCUGUGGCAUAUUUCAUUGGCGGCAGUGUGCGUGCUUUUGCGUCGGAAGCGGCUUUUGUUGCUCUGUGCUUUUGCUGUGCGCGCUGUUGCUGUUGCCCUGUGUUGCGGUGGGACGUCAGAGUCAGUUCGUAUGCUGCGGGAAAUGGCUGCCGAGGAGGUAGGUCAGGAUUUCGGUCUUGGCUGUUAUAUCUUGGUGGUUUGUUGUCGUGGUUGGGACUGAGGUGCCUACAAUGUGCUUUUGAGUGUUCCGGGUUCUCAUUUGGUGGACUGUUUGGAUAGCUUGCUAUGCUUGUGGUUUUUUCAUCGAGUGAUUGAGUCUGGUGGUAACUUGUUGCUGUUCGGGACUUUGAA
rnacentral:rRNA from 1 species